GUUGUUUCUUGGGUCAGGUUCAGAGCGAGUUGGUAGUGGCACGAGGAGGGGUCUGGAAGACGACCGCCUCGAUAGCCCCGCUGAUUCAGGAAGAGGAGGUAGCGGAACCAGCAGUCGACAGAAUAGCGGACGGUCAAGCGCUCGUCGUAGCAGUGGGAGGAUGAGGGCAGCAUUACCUGAAUCGAGCGGCGUAUAUCAAGUAGAGGAACAGAAUGUUGAUGCCUCCUACAUCGAUCCCUUAGGCCCAUCAGCGGAGAGGCCCAAGACAGCAGCGAGGAAAAGAGACGCUGAGGAUGAGUUUGGUGAUGAGGAGCUCGGUGAUGACCUUCUCCCAGAAUAAAUAUGAAGUCUAGUGUUCAGAGGAAUAUAUGCAUCAUGAGAAUGCCUGGGGUGAUUCACAGACAGCUAAAAUCAAUUUUAAGUUCAAUGAAAUUGAUUUUAUGACUUUUGAUUGGACUAAGACUAAAGCUUCAAGAACUGAUUUUAGCUGAUAGUAAAGCUCCCCCUAGUGUAAUGAAACAUCUGUACAUUCAAUAUAGGAUAUAUUUUACAGAAUAAAAUAAUUUAAUAAACUCACACAAUCAAUUGAGUUAAUGAUUCCAUGGUGUGGAAAAAUAUAUAUCAUUCAAAUUCAGAACUCCAUUGAGAUUUUAUCCUGUGAUAUAUUUAUAAGUAUUUAGUAUUGAUUUAGAUUUUGAUGCUUAUUAUUUUUUCUGUGAAUGUGCUCUAAAUGUGAUACCUCUUGUUUAAGUGUUUGUCAGCACUAAAAUGAUAAAGUCACUAUGUCACCUUGAUAAUUACAUAGUACAUGUACAAGUAAAGUACACUCAAUUCCGUCUAGUCAUAGAUUGCCAUUUUAUUUAUUUAGUUCAGUCUUAAUCACAAUCAAUACAAUGGACAAUGUUUGUUAUGAAAUGUGUAGACAUGAGUACUUUAAGUUCACAAUGCAUGUUUAACAUAUGAUCAUAUGAACUGAUAUAGGGUAAAAAACUGUUUCACGUUGCAACAGUUCUGCAGCAAUUACAAGUCUUAUAUCAAAUUAUCAACUGUUUUGUAAGUUUCUCGGUAAAUGACCUACCUUCUCUUCACAAAAGGGAUAUGAAAUGCCUUUUAUUUUGAUACAUUUGAUGCAGAAGGGGGGGGGGGGUCAGCUUUGGCUCUAUGUAAGUUUUUCACGUAAAUUGAAUUGAUUUAUGAUGUAUAUUCCAUAAUUUGGAAUAGUUACGGUAUAAAUUAUUUUCAACUGUCUGCAUUACAGACAGGAACUAUGAACUAUUAGCAAAUGAAAUUCUUUAUAUCAAUAUUGGGACAUGGGCUUGCAAAGUUAUUCAUGAAUUUAUAAGUGAAUUAAUUAAUCAAAAGCAAUAUGGGGUGAAGAUACACGUGUGAGCAAGGUGAAAGUAUGCAGAUGUAGAUCUUAUUGAAAGAAUACUUUGUGCCCAAUUUUCAUGGAAAGUUUGGAAAAUGCAAUAUUGUUUACAUACCAGGAAAUCUGAAAUCUUUGACUUUCUUAUUAGUAAAAAGCUGUGUAUUCAUAUCCAAAUUUACUAACUUGACUCUCCCUUUAUCGUAAUGGACAAAAUAAUUUAAGGAUUUUGAUGUGUUUGUGUGAUGUAUAGCUAGAAGAGAUAUAUCUUGAUGAAAUCCUGCUUUGUGAUUUUAAAUAUGUAUAAAAGAGAUGUGAAAAUUAAAUAUUAUUACCAAGCAUACAUAAAA